UAUGACACUCCAAACAUCCAAACGGAAGUUAAAGAGGCUCCGUACUCCAUUGCCCAUUGUAGUAAAGCUUCAAAGACCCGUGAAAUCCAAACUCGGUGCCAGAGCUCUCCUACUUCUCGCUCUUCGCUCAUUAAGAAAUCAAAGCUAUUUUCAUCGGAUUUUGGAUAAAACUUUUGAAGUUGUUUUGGACUGAAAACCAGUUUACUUACUGCCAAACUACUGAAAGCCUGGAAGAUGCUAGUUU